rnacentral:rRNA from 1 species
AUUCCAGCUCCAAUAGCGUAUAUUAAAGUUGUUGCAGUUAAGAAGCUCGUAGUUGAACUUCUGUGUGUGCCCAGUUCUGGCUUCGGUCAAGCUGUGGUGCUCACAUCCGCUUGCAAACCUAGUCCGGCCUUCAUUGGUCGACUAGGGGAGUAGGCUUUUUACUUUGAAAAAAUUAGAGUGUUUCAAGCAGGCAAUGGCUCGAACACAUUAGCAUGGAAUAAUGGAAUAGGACUUUUGUCCAUUUGGUUGGUUAUUGGACAUGAGUAAUGAUUAACAGGGACAGUUGGGGGCAUUAGUAUUUAAUUGUCAGAGGUGAAAUUCUUGGAUUUAUUAAAGACUAACUUAUGCGAAAGCAUUUGCCAAGGAUGUUUUCAUCA